rnacentral:rRNA from 1 species
GUGAGGAAUAUUGCGCAAUGGAGGCAACUCUGACGCAGCCAUGCCGCGUGCAGGAAGAAGGCGCUACGCGUUGUAAACUGCUUUUAACCGGGAAGAAACCCCAGGACGUGUCCUGGGUUGACGGUACCGGAGGAAUAAGCACCGGCUAACUUCGUGCCAGCAGCCGCGGUAAUACGAAGGGUGCAAGCGUUAUCCGGAUUCAUUGGGGUUAAAGGGUGCGUAGGCGGAGCGUUAAGUCAGUGGUGAAAUCCUGCAGCUUAACUGUAGACUUGCCAUUGAUACUGGCGCUCUUGAGUGCGCUUGAAGUGGGCGGAAUGUGCCGUGUAGCGGUGAAAUGCUUAGAUAUGGCACAGAACACCAAUUGCGAAGGCAGCUCACUAAGGCGAUACUGACGCUGAGGCACGAAAGCGUGGGGAUCGAACAGGAUUAGAAACCCCAGUAGUCC